UAUAGACUGGACACGAA
rnacentral:misc_RNA from 1 species